UACGUAGGCAGCGAGCGUUUGUUCGGAAUUACUGGGCGUAAAGAGUGUGUAGGCGGUGCUCUAAGUUCGGUGUGAAAUCUCCCGCUUAACUGGGAGGGUGCGCCGGAAACUGGAGUGCUCGAGCGUGGGGAGAGGGGAAGCGGGAAUUCCUGGUGUAGCGGGUGAAAAUGCGUAGAUAUCAGGGAGGGAACACCUGCGGUGUAGACGCUUUCUGGACCAUUGCUGACGGCUGAGACACGAAAGCGUGGGUAGCAAACAGG
rnacentral:rRNA from 1 species